rnacentral:sRNA from 1 species
UCAUGGUACAUGAGUGGCUAUCAUACUGGCUAUUAUAUGACAGGGUUUCACUGUGUUAGCCAGGAUGGUCUCAAUCUCCUGACCCCGUGAUCCACCCGCCUCGGCCUUCCAAGAGAAAUGAAAUUUUUUUAAUGCACAAAGAUCUGGGGGUUUCAGACAAAAUCAAAAAGAAGGAAGGUGCUCACAUUCCUUAAAUUAAGGAGAAAUGCUGGCAUAGAGCAGCACUAAAUGACACCACUAAAGAAACGAUCAGACAGAUCUGGAAUGUGAAGCGUUAUAGAAGAUAACUGGCCUCAUUUCUUCAAAAUAUCAAGUGUUGGGAAAGAAAAAAGGAAGUGGAAUGGGUAACUCUUCUUGAUUAAAAAAUCUGUAUUUGUAAAGGCACCUACUUGCUAAAAUUUAUUUGUAACCUAACAUCAAUACUCAUGGCAGUUUCAUGGUUUUUCAUGGACAUACACAGAGAUAAUUCCCCCACCACCUCCCAUAUGUCCAGAUUCUCUUGAUGAUGCUGAUGC